rnacentral:rRNA from 1 species
AUUGAACGCUGGCGGCAUGCCUUACACAUGCAAGUCGAACGGUAACGGGUUAAGCCGACGAGUGGCGAACGGGUGAGUAAUAUAUCGGAACGUGCCCAGUCGUGGGGAUAACGUAGCGAAAGACUACGCUAAUACCGCAUACGAUCUAUGGAGUGAAAGCGGGGAGUCGCAAGACCUCGCGCGAUUGGAGCGGCCGAUAUCAGAUUAGGUAGUUGGUGGGGUAAAAGCCCACCAAGCCGACGA